rnacentral:piRNA from 1 species
UGUUGAAAGGACCUGCUUACGUUUGUGAGGU